rnacentral:rRNA from 1 species
UACGAAGGGGGCUAGCGUUGCUCGGAAUGACUGGGCGUAAAGGGCGCGUAGGCGGAUGGCACAGUCAGAUGUGAAAUUCCCGGGCUCAACCUGGGGGCUGCGCUUGAUACUGAUGAGCUUGAAUGCGGGAGAGGAUAGUGGAAUUCCCAGUGUAGAGGUGAAAUUCGUAGAUAUUGGGAAGAACACCGGUGGCGAAGGCGGCUAUCUGGCCCGUAAUUGACGCUGAGGCGCGAAAGCGUGGG